UACGUAGGGUGCGAGCGUUAAUCGGAAUUACUGGGCGUAAAGCGUGCGCAGGCGGUUUUGUAAGCCGGAUGUGAAAUCCCCGGGCUUAACCUGGGAAUGGCAUUCGGGACUGCAAGGCUGGAGUGCGGCAGAGGAGACUGGAAUUCCUGGUGUAGCAGUGAAAUGCGUAGAUAUCAGGAGGAACACCGAUGGCGAAGGCAGGUCUCUGGGCUGACACUGACGCUCAUGCACGAAAGCGUGGGGAGCGAACAGG
rnacentral:rRNA from 1 species